rnacentral:rRNA from 1 species
UACGUAGGGGGCAAGCGUUGUCCGGAAUUAUUGGGCGUAAAGAGCGUGUAGGCGGUCCGGUAAGUCAGCUGUGAAAGUCAAGGGCUCAACCCUUGAAAGCCGGUUGAUACUGUCGGGCUAGAGUCCGGAAGAGGCGAGUGGAAUUCCCGGUGUAGCGGUGAAAUGCGCAGAUAUCGGGAGGAACACCAACGGCGAAGGCAGCUCGCUGGGACGGUACUGACGCUAAGGCGCGAAAGCGUGGGGAGCGAACAGG